GGCAGUAUAGCAUAGUGGUUAAGGAGCAGGACUCGUAACCGAAAGGUUACUGGUUCAAUCCCUGCUGGAGACA
rnacentral:tRNA from 1 species